GCGUCGGUGGUUCAGUGGUAGAAUACUCGCCUGCCACGCGGGUGGCCCGGGUUUGAUUCCCGGCCGACGCA
rnacentral:tRNA from 4 species